UGUAGGUGCACAAAACAAAGGGUUUAUUGUAGGGCGAGAAGUACCGCGUGGAUAAUAAGGUCGUCUGGGAAGGAGUGACGUCGGAGUAGAGCUGAAAGGAGAGGGAGCGAGUGGGGGAGUGCCUAGCACGUUGAAGAGCCGCAAAGAGGAAGGAGGGCGCAGGGACAGAGGCCGAUGAGAAAGGCAGGACCACCGCGCAGCACACUAAGGACUUGCGUUUACUCCGAGUGAGAUGCGGUGCUGAGCAUCGGCUGUGUAGACUGAGGCGCGCCGGCCGUUGCCCCUCAAGUCCCCGAGCCAGCGCUCAGCCCGGCUGCCCCGCAGCUCCCACGGCCACACGAUUCCCCAUCCCGCGCGCCCACUCGCCUCGUGCGGGCCGUAGACCACAGCCAGUGCCUUGGUGUUGCCCUGCUCAAUGUAGGCCGAGCCGUCAGCCUGCGCGAACACGCCCAUCCGCGCCUGGAUCUUGCGCAGCUCCCCGGCGCGCCGCCCGUCCACCCGGUAGCCCUGGUCCGACAAGAGCUCCAGCCCCGCCAUGCUGCCCGGCCGCCAGGUCCGCUCUCUGCCUACUUCUCUGAGCCGCGGGAGAACUACAGCUCCCGGCGGCUCCGACCGCCCGGAAUCUACGGUUUCCGGAGGUCCGCCAUCACUUCCGGUUCCGGGGAACUACAGCUCUCCGCGGCCCUGACCUCCGUGGAUCUGCGGUUUCCGGCGUUCCGCUGUCACUUCCUGUCCUGGUGAACUGGAGUUCACCGCGGCCCCGACCUCCCCGGAUCUACGGUUUCCGGCGGUCCGGCUCUACUUCUGUCUCCGGGGAACUGCGGCGGCGCUAUCGGGGAAGCAGCGGCUGGGCCCGCAGCCGUUCCCGGAGCUGUGCCACGGGUGCCAGGAGGUGGGCGCCCGCCGAAGGAGGAAUUGCCCAGUCACGCCCUCGUGACCAGUGGUGCCUGCAUUCAGCCCUUCCCCGCGCCCCAAGUGUGAAAGUGGAAGGAUGAACCCAGUGGGGUGCGACACUGACAGGAGAAGGCAUUGAGCGGUCCUAGGAAAGUGACCAGGCUGGUGUCCCAGGAUGGUCCACACCUGGCACCUCUCCAGUCCUCUCAUGCCCUCCCUUUACACCGAGCUUCCACACUGCAGUCAGGUGGGCCUCCCUUUUCCCUUUGAGGAUGCAGAUUUCCUCAUCCUUUCCAGAGAGGGGUUGUAUGUCUGUUUAUCUCUUGCCACUUAACCUCAGCGGCUUCAAAUAAUAAAAAUCAUUCUAUUA
rnacentral:lncRNA from 10 species